rnacentral:rRNA from 1 species
UGAGGAAUAUUGGUCAAUGGGCGGAAGCCUGAACCAGCCAUCCCGCGUGCAGGAAGAAUGCGCUAUGCGUUGUAAACUGCUUUUCCAGGGGGCGAACGUUCCGUACGUGUACGGGAGUGACGGUACCUUGAGAAUAAGCAUCGGCUAACUCCGUGCCAGCAGCCGCGGUAAUACGGAGGAUGCGAGCGUUAUCCGGAUUUAUUGGGUUUAAAGGGUGCGUAGGCGGAUUAAUAAGUCAGUGGUGAAAACCUGCAGCUUAACUGUGGAACUGCAGUUGAUACUGUUAGUCUUGAGUAUGGUCAAGGUAGGCGGAAUGUGUAAUGUAGCGGUGAAAUGCUUAGAUAUUACACAGAACACCGAUUGCGAAGGCAGCUUACUGGGCCAUAACUGACGCUGAUGCACGAAAGCGUGGGGAUCGAACAG